AUGGUGAUAGCAGGCAUGGCGGGUAUCGACUUAUCUGGCAACUUUCUUUCACAAGAGAUCCCACAUGGGCUCACAACGCUUCUUGGAAUCAGGUACCUGAACUUAUCAGGAAAUCAUUUGUCAGGUCGUAUUCCCAAAGACAUUGGCAAUCUGGUACUGCUGGAAUCCUUGGACCUUUCUCGGAACCAACUAUCAGGGGAAAUUCCUCCAAGCUUUGCAGAUUUGAAGACCAUAAGCGUCCUGAACCUCUCGAGCAACAGUUUAUCAGGGAGGAUACCUACGGGCAAUCAGUUGCAGACACUCGUAGAUCCUUCAAUAUACAGCAAUAAUCCUGGGCUGUGCGGGUUUCCGUUGGAAGACUGUGUAAACUCGUCGACACCUACGCAAAUCGAAGAGAGGCAGGCUGAAGAUAGAGAGACAUUGUGGUUGUGUUGCUUUGUGGCUGCUGGGUUCAGCUUUGGGUUCUGGCUGUACUGGGGCAUGUUCAUGUUUCGCAGCGAGACAUGGAGAUUUGCGUUCUAUCAGUAUGUGGACAACAUGCAAGCCAUGGUAACCAAGAAGAUAUAUAGCUGCAUGUCGCACUUUCAGGUCAACGGCGCUGAAUGA
rnacentral:rRNA from 1 species